rnacentral:rRNA from 1 species
UACGAAGGGGACUAGCGUUGUUCGGAAUCACUGGGCGUAAAGCGCACGCAGGCGGAUUGAUAAGUCAGGGGUGAAAUCCCGGAGCUCAACUUCGGAAUUGCCUUUGAUACUGUCUGUCUUCGAGUUCGGGAGAGGUUGGCGGAAUUCCUAGUGUAGAGGUGAAAUUCGUAGAUAUUCGCAAGAACACCAGUGGCGAAGGCGGCUCACUGGCCCGGUACUGACGCUGAGGAGCGAAAGCCAGGGGAGCAAAGCGGG